CUGAUGCAGCCAUGCCGCGUGAGUGAUGAAGGCCUUAGGGUUGUAAAAUUCUUUCGCUAGGGACGAUAAUGACGGUACCUAGUAAAGAAGCCCCGGCUAACUUCGUGCCAGCAGCCGCGGUAAUACGAAGGGGGCUAGCGUUGUUCGGAAUUACUGGGCGUAAAGCGCGCGUAGGCGGACCACCAAGUUGGAUGUGAAAUCCCGAUGCUCAACUCAGGAACUGCAUUCAAAACUGUUGGUCUAGAGGCCAGGAGAGGUCAGUGGAAUACCGAGUGUAGAGGUGAAAUUCGUAGAUAUUCGGUGGAACACCAGUGGCGAAGGCGACUGACUGGACUGGUACUGACGCUGAGGUGCGAAAGUGUGGGGAGCAAACAGGAUUAGAUACCCUGGUAGUCCACACCGUAAACGAUGAAUGCUAGUUGUCUGCAUGCAUGCAUGUAGGUGACGCAGCUAACGCAUUAAGCAUUCCGCCUGG
rnacentral:rRNA from 1 species